rnacentral:rRNA from 1 species
UACGAAGGGGGCUAGCGUUGUUCGGAAUUACUGGGCGUAAAGGGCGCGUAGGCGGCCUUCUAAGUCGAACGUGAAAUCCCUGGGCUCAACCCAGGAACUGCGUCCGAUACUGGAAGGCUUGAAUCCGGGAGAGGGAUGCGGAAUUCCAGGUGUAGCGGUGAAAUGCGUAGAUAUCUGGAGGAACACCGGUGGCGAAGGCGGCAUCCUGGACCGGUAUUGACGCUGAGGCGCGAAAGCCAGGGGAGCAAACGGG